CCCAACUCUAGCUGCCUCACAGCCCUACACAUCCAAGGCUUGCUUUAAAUCUCGCAAGUCCUGAAGAAAAUGAAGACAGAAAGAACAGCACCUACUUUCAAGGGAAAGGAGGCCACGCCCCUCAGCGGCUUCAGGAGCCCAGACCUUUGGGGGCCCACCUUCCGCAGCCUUCCAUUGGCCCCACAGUGCAAGCCCGUAGGUUCAGGCCCUCCGAAAGCUCGCUUUCCACACCAGCGGGGCCGUACCACUGCACUCUAGCCUGGGCGGUAGAGCCAGACCAUGUCUCACAAAAUAAUAAUAAUACUUAAAAAAUGGUAAAUUUUAUGUUAUGUAUAUUUUCCACACUAUAAAUAUUUGUGCAUGUAUUAUAUA